rnacentral:rRNA from 1 species
CCUACGGGAGGCAGCAGUGAGGAAUAUUGGUCAAUGGACGAGAGUCUGAACCAGCCAAGUAGCGUGAAGGAUGACUGCCCUAUGGGUUGUAAACUUCUUUUAUAUGGGAAUAAAAUGUUCCACGUGUGGGAUUUUGUAUGUACCAUAUGAAUAAGGAUCGGCUAACUCUGUGCCAGCAGCCGCGGUAAUACGGAGGAUCCGAGCGUUAUCCGGAUUUAUUGGGUUUAAAGGGAGCGUAGGUGGAUUGUUAAGUCAGUUGUGAAAGUUUGCGGCUCAACCGUAAAAUUGCAGUUGAAACUGGCAGUCUUGAGUACAGUAGAGGUGGGCGGAAUUCGUGGUGUAGCGGUGAAAUGCUUAGAUAUCACGAAGAACUCCGAUUGCGAAGGCAGUUCACUGGACUGCAACUGACACUGAGGCUCGAAAGUGUGGGUAUCAAACAGGAUUAGAUACCCCUGUAGUC